AGACGCUGGCGGCAGGCCUAACACAUGCAAGUCGAACGAAGUCUUCGGACUUAGUGGCGGACGGGUUAGUAACGCGUGGGAACGUGCCCUUUACUUCGGAAUAGUCCCGGGAAACUGGGUUUAAUACCGAAUACGCCCUUUGGGGGAAAGAUUUAUCGGUAAAGGAUCGGCCCGCGUUGGAUUAGGUAGUUGGUGGGGUAAUGGCCUACCAAGCCGACGAUCCAUAGCUGGUUUGAGAGGAUGAUCAGCAACACUGGGACUGAGACACGGCCCAGACUCCUACGGGAGGCAGCAGUGGGGAAUCUUAGACAAUGGGGGCAACCCUGAUCUAGCCAUGCCGCGUGAGUGAAGAAGGCCUUAGGGUCGUAAAGCUCUUUCGCCAGGGAUGAUAAUGACAGUACCUGGUAAAGAAACCCCGGCUAACUCCGUGCCAGCAGCCGCGGUAAUACGGAGGGGGUUAGCGUUGUUCGGAAUUACUGGGCGUAAAGCGCACGUAGGCGGACUUGAAAGUUGGGGGUGAAAUCCCGGGGC
rnacentral:rRNA from 1 species